rnacentral:piRNA from 1 species
UGGGAAUGGGUGCAAAGAAUUCUUUGUCAGG